AAAAACAUCAAAUCAAAAGCCAUGGUAUAGACACAAAGGGUCUGUAGGGUAAAAAGAGAAGAAGAAAUAUAUAUAAAUAAAAUUAAAUUUAAGUUUGAGUAAAAACUAGUUUUGACUGGCAUUUCCCUGAUGAGUAAGGAUGCUGAACGUUUCUCUAGUGCUUCUGUGUAUAUGUUUGUCUUAUCAGUUGUUGAAUAAAACACUGAUUGGCCAGGCAAGAUGAUAGGUAGGACUAGGAGACAAGGAGGAUUCUGGGAAAUGUAGGCAGAGAGGAGUCGUCACGUUGAUCCCAAGAAGUGAUGUAGCUGGGCAGAAACUGCCACUAGCUAACCAUAGAGGUCUGGAGGUCUGUAUAGACAGGCAGGAAGUGACGUAGCUGGUCAGGUCACCCUGAUAUAAUCAGGGACAAAUAGGAAAUCACUCUCUUCUCUGCAGACUUGCUGAGAAGUCGACAUGUAGAAUGGCAGAGGAGUAACAGGUCCCUGAAUCUUUCUCUGGAAAGAGAAGACCACGUGGGAAUACUUGGAUUAAUAAUGAUGGGUCUCAUCACCUCGGAAAGAUGCUGCAGGCUGUAACCACACGUGGAGAUCAGACACAUUACAGCUCUCCAUAGCAAGGCGUUCACAUGCAGAUUUUAGAGGAGCACAGUAUCUACUCCGUUUCGGAAAGAGAGCAUCAACUUCCUCCACUCCACACACUUUGCUCAAAGGACAUACUCAUAGGAACACAGGACUCCUGAGUCCAUUACGGAGCUGUGUGUCAGCUGAUUUACCACCUUCGAUGGUUAGUGGUGACUGUCUACUUGACAGGAUCACCUAGGAGACAAGACUAUGAGGAUACUUGUGAGGGAUUCUCUUGGUUAGGUUGGCUGAUGUGUGAAGACACACACUAAAAGUAAAUGAACAACAGCG
rnacentral:lncRNA from 1 species